rnacentral:rRNA from 1 species
ACGAGGUGAGUAACGCGUGAGGAACCUGCCUCAAAGAGGGGGACAACAGUUGGAAACGACUGCUAAUACCGCAUAAGCCCACGGGUCGGCAUCGACCUGAGGGAAAAGGAGCAAUCCGCUUUGAGAUGGCCUCGCGUCCGAUUAGCUAGUUGGUGAGGUAAUGGCCCACCAAGGCGACGAUCGGUAGCCGGACUGAGAGGUUGAACGGCCACAUUGGGACUGAGACACGGCCCAG